GAAAGUCGAUCUUCAGGGCCUGUAGUUCUCUGGACAGUCGUCGAACCUUAAAAGGCUAAUGUUAAUGAGCUCACGGCAUAUCAUAUAUCUGGCGAAGUCAGACAG